AUUGAACGCUGGCGGCAUGCCUUACACAUGCAAGUCGAACGGUAACAGGUCUUCGGAUGCUGACGAGUGGCGAACGGGUGAGUAAUACAUCGGAACGUGCCUAGUAGUGGGGGAUAACUACUCGAAAGAGUGGCUAAUACCGCAUGAGAUCUACGGAUGAAAGCAGGGGAUCGCAAGACCUUGUGCUACUAGAGCGGCCGAUGGCAGAUUAGGUAGUUGGUGGGAUAAAUGCUUACCAAGCCGACGAUCUGUAGCUGGUCUGAGAGGACGAUCAGCCACACUGGGACUGAGACACGGCCCAGACUCCUACGGGAGGCAGCAGUGGGGAAUUUUGGACAAUGGGCGCAAGCCUGAUCCAGCAAUGCCGCGUGCAGGAUGAAGGCCUUCGGGUUGUAAACUGCUUUUGUACGGAACGAAAAGCCCUGGGUUAAUACCCUGGGGUCAUGACGGUACCGUAAGAAUAAGCACCGGCUAACUACGUGCCAGCAGCCGCGGUAAGAC
rnacentral:rRNA from 1 species